GCGGGAGUGGUGAAAUUGGCAGACACGCAGGAUUUAGGUUCCUGUGCCUCACGGCGUGUGGGUUCAAGUCCCACCUUCCGCA
rnacentral:tRNA from 1 species